rnacentral:lncRNA from 1 species
AUAGGUUGUUGCACUAGAACCAUGAAGAUGCUGCAUUGCAUAACUGGAUAAGUAUGCGGAUGAAUGUUGAAUAACCCUUUAGCCCUCAGUAUGACAUGAAAAGUCGAGAAAAGAGAAAUGGAAGAGUCAAGCAUAAAGAGUAUGAGCAGGGAGGCCUAACCGCCCCUAAUAUUGAGUCAGUAUAGUCAGGAGGCCUAAUCGCCCUGACAAAACGUUUUCAG